GUGUCAGCAGCCGCGGUAAUACGUAGGGUGCAAGCGUUGUCCGGAAUUAUUGGGCGUAAAGAGCUUGUAGGCGGUUUGUCGCGUCUGCUGUGAAAUUUCGGGGCUCAACCCCGAACUUGCAGUGGGUACGGGCAGACUAGAGUGUGGUAGGGGAGACUGGAAUUCCUGGUGUAGCGGUGAAAUGCGCAGAUAUCAGGAGGAACACCGAUGGCGAAGGCAGGUCUCUGGGCCAUAACUGACGCUGAGAAGCGAAAGCAUGGGGAGCGAACAGGAUUAGAUACCCUAGUAGUCC
rnacentral:rRNA from 1 species